AUUGAACGCUGGCGGCAGGCCUAACACAUGCAAGUCGAGCGGAGCGGCGGACGGGUGAGUAAUGCCUAGGACUCUGCCUGGUCGUGGGGGAUAACGUCAGGAACCGGGCGCUAAUACCGCAUACUAUUGGAUGAGCCUAGGUCUGAUUAGCUAGGUGGUGGGGUAAAGGCCUACCAAGGCGACGAUCCGUAACCGGUCUGAGAGGAUGAUCAGUCACACUGGAACUGAGACCCGGUCCAGACUCCUACGGGAGGCAGCAGUGGGGAAUAUGGGACAAUGGGCGAAAGCCUGAUCCAGCCAUGCCGCGUGUGUGAAGAAGGUCUUCGGAUUGUAAAGCACUUUAAGUUGGGAGGCGUUACCAACAGAAUAAGCACCGGCUAACUUCGUGCCAGCCGCCGCGGUAAUUC
rnacentral:rRNA from 1 species